CAACUUCAUUUUCAUCCGCCGCUGCUUCCCUUUCUUUACUUUCUGCAUCUUUCUCCCCUUUUUUCUUCAAAAUUAAAUCUUUAAUCUUUGCCCCUUUUUUUCUUCAAAAAUAAAUCUUUAAUCUUUGCCCAAGAUCUCUUCUUAAAAUACACAGAACUUUUGCUGAAGGUAUUGUUCACGGAAGAAAGAUGGUGAAAUAUGAAGUUUUAUUUGGCAUGGAUUUUGUUCUCGUUUCUAGGUCUUGUUUCUUCAAAUUUAUUUUAUUCUUUUUGUCUGCUUUUUGUUAUUUUUGUUACACGUUUGAUUUAUAACUUUUGAUUCGAUUUAUGAAACCUUUUGAUUGUGAAAAUAUUUCAACAUUGUUUUCUACUUUUGCUUUGAUUUUACUGACUAUAAUAAAAAACUUCUUGGAACAAAAUUUCCGAAAAUUUCCGAUUUUCCGAAAUUUCCGAAAAAAUCGGAAUCGGAAUCAGAUCCUGAAUUCCGAAAAAAUCGGAAUCGGAAUCGGAACCCAUAUUUCAAUUCCGAAAAAAAUCGGAAAUUUUCCGAAAGGGUCAUAUCCGAUCCGAUCCGUCCGAUUUCCACCCCUAAGUACGACUAUGAAUACGCUGCGAAUAAAAUCAAAUACAUAGUUGUAUCGGCAAUCAAUAAAGUUUGACAUAUACCUAAAAACAAUAUAAAGAUGCCCAAAU
rnacentral:lncRNA from 1 species